CAAGCGUUGUUCGGAUUCAUUGGGCGUAAAGGGUGCGUAGGUGGCGCUGUAAGUCGGGUGUGAAAUUUCGGAGCUUAACUCCGAAACUGCAUUCGAUACUGCGGUGCUUGAGGACUGGAGAGGAGACUGGAAUUCAUGGUGUAGCAGUGAAAUGCGUAGAGAUCAUGAGGAAGACCAGUGGCGAAGGCGGGUCUCUGGACAGUUCCUGACACUGAGGCACGAAGGCCAGGGGAGCAAACGGG
rnacentral:rRNA from 1 species